rnacentral:rRNA from 1 species
AACGAACGCUGGCGGCAUGCCUAACACAUGCAAGUCGAACGAGACCUUCGGGUCUAGUGGCGCACGGGUGCGUAACGCGUGGGAACCUGCCCUUAGGUUCGGAAUAACUCCCCGAAAGGGGUGCUAAUACCGGAUAAUGUCUUCGGACCAAAGAUUUAUCGCCUUUGGAUGGGCCCGCGUUGGAUUAGCUAGUUGGUAGGGUAAAAGCCUACCAAGGCGACGAUCCAUAGCUGGUCUGAGAGGAUGAUCAGCCACACUGGGACUGAGACACGGCCCAGACUUCUACGGGAGGCAGCAGUGGGGAAUAUUGGACAAUGGGCGGAGGCAUGAUCCAGCACUGCCGCGUGAGUGAUGAAGGCCUUAGGGUUGUAAAGCUCUUUUACCCGGGAUGAUAAUGACAGUACCGGGAGAAUAAGCUCCGGCUAACUCCGUG